rnacentral:rRNA from 1 species
UGGGGAAUAUUGGACAAUGGGCGCAAGCCUGAUCCAGCCAUGCCGCGUGAGUGAUGAAGGCCCUAGGGUUGUAAAGCUCUUUCACCGGUGAAGAUAAUGACGGUAACCGGAGAAGAAGCCCCGGCUAACUUCGUGCCAGCAGCCGCGGUAAUACGAAGGGGGCUAGCGUUGUUCGGAUUUACUGGGCGUAAAGCGCACGUAGGCGGACUUUUAAGUCAGGGGUGAAAUCCCGGGGCUCAACCCCGGAACUGCCUUUGAUACUGGAAGUCUUGAGUAUGGCAGAGGUGAGUGGAAUUCCGAGUGUAGAGGUGAAAUUCGUAGAUAUUCGGAGGAACACCAGUGGCGAAGGCGGCUCACUGGACCAUUACUGACGCUGAGGUGCGAAAGCGUGGGGAGCAAACAGG